UACGGAGGGGGCUAGCGUUGUUCGGAAUUACUGGGCGUAAAGCGCACGUAGGCGGCUUUGUAAGUUAGAGGUGAAAGCCCAGGGCUUAACCCUGGAAUUGCCUUUAAGACUGCAUCGCUAGAAUCGUGGAGAGGUGAGUGGAAUUCCGAGUGUAGAGGUGAAAUUCGUAGAUAUUGGGAAGAACACCGGUGGCGAAGGCGGCCAACUGGACCACAACUGACGCUGAGGCGCGAAAGCGUGGGGAGCAAACAGG
rnacentral:rRNA from 1 species